GAAACGCACAGAACACGAGGGAUGAAAGGAAGCCAAAGAGGGCCAGGGGAAAGGUAAAAACCGUGGCUAGGGCUUCCCGGGGAGAUUGAGGGCUCCCGAAGGCUGGGGCAGGCUGGAGGGACCUCCCGGAGCAUCAGGCGGGCACCGGAGUCUGCGAACAGGCCUGGAAGGAGCUCGGGGAAGGCGUUCGUUGGGGGAGCGGGCAGUUCGUGGGCCCCACCCCCUGGAGCUCCGCAGAGGAUCGGCUCCCCUGGAUCGAGUAGGGGGGUGGAGGAAGUGAGAGCGCAGAAGAAGGAAUGCAUAGAGGAAGGAGUCGCUAGAGGAGCGACAGGUGGGAGCUAGUCAGAGUCCGAGGUUUGCGGGGGUGGGGGUUGGCCGCACCUGUGAGACCUCCGGGCCGCCGUAGCCCCGCCCCUCGCGCGUGGCGCCCCGACGCUUGGCGCGCGGGCCGCUCUCCUUACAGAGGUCGCUCUUGCCCGAACGGUCGGCUUCCCUCUGUUGCGCCUGCGUAGUCGGGAGGGGAAGUGAGGCGGUUUCCUCGGCGCCUUUUCCGGCGGCGGCAGCGGCAGAACUGGGAGGAGGCUGUGGAGGCCGGAGGGAGCCCGCGCGCGGGGCGGCGGCUGGAGGCAGCGCACCGAGUUCCCGCGAGGAUCCAUGACCUGACCGGGCGCCGGAGCCGCGCUGCUUCUCGGCUGGCCUGGGUCGGUGGUGAGCGCGGUGGUCGCGGACCGGGGACCGGGCCGAAGGGCCGCAGUCUCCCGCGGCGGAGCCAGGAGAAGGCGGAGGAGCGGGAACCGCGGCGGCGCUCGCGCGGCGCCUGCGGGGGGAAGGGCAGUUCCGGGCCGGGCCGCGCCUCAGCAGGGCGGCGGCUCUCCCGGCGCAGACUCAGCGCCCCGGCGCCUGGAGGAAUCAAGUUGUGUGGUGGGUGAUGCCCGAGUGAGCGGCGGCCCCGGGCCUCUGCCCAGAGGAGGCGACUCCCACGCAGGCCGCACGGGCGCCCUCGCGACUGGGAGGCUCCGUUUCUGUUUCGCGGCGGCGGCGGCGUUGUUGGCGGAGGGGACCCGGGACACCUGAAUGCCCCCG
rnacentral:lncRNA from 1 species